UUUCCGUAGGUGAACCUGCGGAAGGAUCAUUACAGUAGUCGCCCGGGUUGCCGCAAGGCCUCCCGGGUAACCUACCACCCUUUGUUUAUUACACUUUGUUGCUUUGGCAGGCCUGCCCUCGGGCUGCUGGCUCCGGCCGGCGAGCGCUUGCCAGAGGACCUAAACUCUGUUUGUCUAUACUGUCUGAGUACUAUAUAAUAGUUAGAACUUUCAACAACGGAUCUCUUGGCUCUC
rnacentral:misc_RNA from 1 species